GGCAAUGAUGAGUGAAGUAUAGUCUGACCUGGUAUUGCCAAGGCCUCUGCUUUGGCUCUGACCAGGAGGUGAUCACGUGAUCUUCUCUCUGAGCCA